AGUGAACGCUGGCGGUAGGCCUAACACAUGCAAGUCGAACGGCAGCACAGUAAGAGCUUGCUCUUACGGGUGGCGAGUGGCGGACGGGUGAGGAAUACAUCGGAAUCUACUUUUUCGUGGGGGAUAACGUAGGGAAACUUACGCUAAUACCGCAUACGACCUACGGGUGAAAGCAGAGGAUCUUCGGACCUUGCGCGAUUGAAUGAGCCGAUGUCGGAUUAGCUAGUUGGCGGGGUAAAGGCCCACCAAGGCGACGAUCCGUAGCUGGUCUGAGAGGAUGAUCAGCCACACUGGAACUGAGACACGGUCCAGACUCCUACGGGAGGCAGCAGUGGGGAAUAUUGGACAAUGGGCGCAAGCCUGAUCCAGCCAUACCGCGUGGGUGAAGAAGGCCUUCGGGUUGUAAAGCCCUUUUGUUGGGAAAGAAAAGCAGCAGGUUAAUACCCCGCUGCUCUGACGGUACCCAAAGAAUAAGCACCGGCUAACUUCGUG
rnacentral:rRNA from 1 species